rnacentral:rRNA from 1 species
GACGAACGCUGGCGGCGUGCCUAAUACAUGCAAGUAGAACGCCGUUGCGCACGGGUUUGUAACGCGUAGUUAACUGCCUCAUAGCGGGGGAUAACUCUUGGAAACGAUUGCUACUACCUCAUACUUUGAGAUGGACCUGCGUUGUAUUAGCUAGUUGGGGAGGUAAAGGCUCACCAAGGCGACUCUACAUAGCCGACCUGAGAGGGUGCUCGGCCACACUGGGACUUGGGCCCGGCCCCAGCUCCUACGGGAGGCAGGCGUAGGGAAUCUUCGGCAAAGGACGGAAGUCUGACCGCGGAACGCCGCGUGAGUGAAGAAGGUUUUCGGAUCGUAAAGCUCUGUUGUUAGAGAAGCGGUAACUAAAGAGAAAGGGACGGCUAACUCCGUGCCAGCCGCCGCGGUAAUAA